GACGUAGGGCGCGAGCGUUGUCCGGAUUUAUUGGGCGUAAAGAGCUCGUAGGCGGCUUGUCGCGUCGUCCGUGAAAACCCACAGCUCAACUGUGGGCUUGCGGUCGAUACGGGCAGACUAGAGGUAGGUAGGGGAGAAUGGAAUUCCUGGUGUAGCGGUGAAAUGCGCAGAUAUCGGGAGGAACACCGGUGGCGAAGGCGGUUCUCUGGGCCUGACCUGACGCUGAGGAGCGAAAGCGUGGGGAGCGAACAGG
rnacentral:rRNA from 1 species